rnacentral:rRNA from 1 species
UACGGAGGGUGCAAGCGUUGUUCGGAAUUACUGGGCGUAAAGCGCGCGUAGGCGGUUUAGUAAGUUGGGAGUGAAAUCCCGGGGCUUAACUCCGGAAUUGCUUUCAAAACUACUAAGCUAGAGUAUGGUAGGGGAUAGUGGAAUUCCUAGUGUAGAGGUGAAAUUCGUAGAUAUUAGGAGGAACACCAGUGGCGAAAGCGACUGUCUGGGCCAUUACUGACGCUGAGGCGCGAAAGCGUGGGGAGCAAACAGG